rnacentral:lncRNA from 1 species
CACAGCCGGAGAUGACAAAAAUAAUAAUAAAGUUUAUUGGCGAAACUUCCACUAAAGCUGAAGUUGAAGAAGGAGAAAUAAGGAUAAUGCUCUAUAGGGAUCUACUAACAGAACAUCAAGAUAGAUAUGACGGAGAGAUUUGUAGUAUAGAGCACUAAACUGGAAGUGAGUACUUGGUACUGGGAAGACACAAGGAAACUAUCCAAUGAGACUAUCUCUGAUUUUGAGACUUCGUAUAAAGUGGCGAAGAUGACCACUAAACCAACAGAGGGACUAGAUGCACUAAGGAGGCUAGGCAGCUUAGGCCAGGGCACUUUAUAAACCUUCCUUAUUCGUACCUAAUUUUCGAAACCUAUUACUUGACCCGGCAUCUUGGGUGGCGAUUCCACUUUUUCGAUUAUCAAAUAAAUAUUGUGGUCUUUUUAGGUCCCUCGACCGAAUGACUCAUUUCAAAACGAGCCUAGAAAUUCUUUGACAACAUGACAAGGAUGCCAAUCACUUAGGGCUGGGCCUGAAAACCUACUAAUGCUCAUAAACUAUAUCAUAGUAUGAUAAAGUAAUUCAUCAAUUUCUUAUAUAUAUGAAAUUAAAUUAUGUAAUAUUAAAUUCAUCAAUUGGAUGAAUCACUAAUUAAAUUAAUGUAGUGAUACUCAUCAAUCUUUAUAGGACUAGAAUUGCAUAUGAAAUUAUAAUAAAGUUAGGAUUGAAUUAAGAUUAAAAAUUAUAUUCAAUUAAAUAAUUAGAUUAACUAAAGGUAUUUUAGUUCUUUUAAAAAAAAUUCUUCUCUUUUACUAUAUAUGUGUGAGCACAAUAGGUUUUUAGGCUCGGCCCUAGUUGAUUUACGACCUCAUCAUUUUGUCGAGGAACAGUUCUUAGUACUAGGUCUAUUUUGAAAUAAGUCAUAUGGUUAAGAGACCUAAAGGACCACAAUGAUCAUGUGAAUUGGAGUCGACACACUAAACAUCGAGACAAAUUGGAGAGUAAGAAUGGCAGCUUUAUACCCCUUGCGGAGAACCUAAAAUUCUCCCUCCCCAAUGUCAAAGAUUGUGGGGGCUCAGGGUAUGAAUAAGGAAUGCAUGAGGCAUAUGCCUAGGCAUCCGCUAGAGUAAAUGAAUGUUUGCUAGCCUAACAAAAUUACCUUAAUCUAGUCACUUCUACUUAUUUAAGCACGAACCUUUUUAUCUUAUAUAAUAUGUGAGGUCAACAAACAAUUCUAACUUGGAAAAAGGUACAUUGGUACCCGAAACGAGUCAUAGAGUGAGGUACUUUAGUACUUUAGAUACUAUCUAGGUGUGGGAUUCAUAAUCUUAGCAUUUUAAAGUGAAUACAUAUAUAAGGCGCGGGAAGCUUUCAUUGGUAAGCUUUGUUCAUUUUAUGUUUGGCAUUGUGGGGUGAUUGAAAAAUCCUAAGCUAAUUUUAUUAUUCUCUUAGACAUGUGUAGUGUAAAUCUAAAAGCAAUAAAAUAAAACGUUUAUAGAAAGGAGAGGAGAAAAGAGAAUCAAAACAAUCAAAUAAAGAAUUAACUAAUAAAUUAACUAAACUAAUCCUAAAAGUCCAAAGCUAUAGAAGGAGGUAUAUUAGCACUCAAAACUAGUCCUGACGGAAGGUACUUUGGUAACUCAGAUUUUUUAUCUUUCACAUGCAAGGUGGCCAAAUUUGAAUCCAAUUUUAUUACAUAAAUUUCGUGGUAAAUUAGCAUUUUAAAGUGAGUGUAGAUAUGAACUGCGAGAAGCUUACUUUGGUAAGUUUUAUUCAUUUUAUGUUAGGCAUGCUAAAUGAUCGCUCAUAAAUCCUAAGUUGAUUUCAGUCCCUUAAAUGUGGUGAAAAUCUAAAAACAAUAAAAUAAAACAUACAUAGAAAGGGGGGAGGAGAAAAGAGAAAUCCAAAAAGGGAUUAAGGAGAUCGGGGCAAUUAAGGGGGAAUUAAUUACAACCAUAGCUUAAAAGCCUCAAAAAGUCAAAUAAGAAAUUAACUGAUUAAUUAACUAAAUUAAUUCUAAAAGUCCAAUAAAGACCACUUAGGAUAUCAAAAUUGGGUAAUUAGAACCUGUCACUAUGAAAAGAAUUAGAUUAGUAAACAAAAUUAGCAAAUAAAAGUGCAAAUAAACAAAUAUACUAUAGAAUAAAGAGAGAUUAAAAGCAAAUUAAGAAUAAUAUUAAAUAUAUAAAACAAUAGUAAAACUUCGAAAUAUGAGAUAAUAGAAAAUAAACUUAUCUUUAGAGGAAACACGACCUGUUAAUUUAGAACUUGCACCGCCAUAGAAAGCUAAACCAACACAAAAAAUAAAGUGUUUCAUUCGGUGACCAUUAAAAAAUCAAGUAAUAUACUUUAAUAUCUUGAUCAUUAUAUUAAUUGCCAUCAUUCGGUUCAAUAAUGCCCUCCUCAUCCUCAAGAUUAUAUCCAGCUGAAGAAAAUGAAAAUGAAUUUCCUAAUAUUACAGAGAACCAAAUGAACUGCAAAUAUUAUACUGUAAAGGAAGUGCUGAUUCCCGUGUAGGUGAUGGAUGACAGGCAGCCCAAUAAUUGGGGUACUGAUAUUUGUGGAGGUCUAACAAAGGAACCAGUGUAAACAUGACCCGCAUUUUGAUCCUAUUUGAUUAUAGUACUAUCUGAAGUAUUGGAGUACUGAAAUACCCAUGAAGAAAGAGAAGCCAAGUAUGAACUUUUGUCCUGAAACUGUUCAGGAGGUUACAGAACAUAAAGAGAAACCAAGGCCAGCAGAAGCUGUCUAAAUAUGGUAUAGAUGAAAUAGAUAGCUGCAACAAUUGGUAGAUAGAUAUAUAGAGGCAAGUACCGCAAAAACCACAAAAAGGAAGAUAAAACUUUGACCUCAUCUGAUCUUUGUGGAGGAAUAAAGGAAGUAAAGCGCUCUAUUCUUAAAAUUUGAAACUUGGAUCAGCAAAUUCUUAAAAUUCGAAACUCCUUCAGUUCUGUAACCUGAACUUUUACCAAUCACAUCAUUAUCCUUCUAAGAACUCGGAAAAACACCAGAAGAAUCUCUAGAGGCAAGCACGAUCUCAAUCUGUGGAAACAUAUACCACUUCUAGACUUCUUAAUGACAGAAGAUCAACCCAAGUGACAGUAAUACCAUAGCAAGUAACAAAGCAAACAACAAGAUCUAAGAUUGAAAUUACACUAGCCAUACCUCUUCAGAAUGCUCAGGGGUGAAAAGAGAAGGAACCUAUUUACCAGAGAAAGAAGUCUACAAUAUGUAACAGAAGGGAUUAUUCCACAUUGGUGAUGUAAAAAAUUUCACUAUAGGAAAGAAUAAGUAUUACAAAAAUUGACACCUUGAAAAGCUGUCCCUGUUAUGUUCUCUUACUAUAUGGUUCAUCGAGGAGAAAACCUGUAAAUGACAAUAAUCAGCAUUGCAAUUAGCCAAGAAAUAAAAUCAGGAUAAACCUAGUAGAACACAACUCACAGAAUUAAUCACUCGAACAGCAGUGAAUGACAAUUGAAUAAGAUCAUCUUUAUUGGAAAUGCUAUUUCCCAGAACAACUUCCUGCAAGCCCUCCAAUGUACAAACUGCAUGAAAUGGUCUACAACAAACCAAAACAAAAAUCACUUGUAGAACAACUUAUCCCACAACCCACAAGUUUAUCAAGAAGUUCAACAUGAGCAAAUUUUGCUUACUUUUUACAGUUACACUCUCCAAAGCAUCAUUCUCUUUUUACAGUUAAACUCUCCAAAGCAACUUCAUAAAAAACCCAUCAAUGCUCAUAUUGAAAACAUCCCCCAUACGUUCUCACCUGGUUCCAUAUCCAAAUCAAUCUCACCUCCUCUAACUCCCCUUCUUCCUUCUCAACAACAUCAACAAUCUUUUUUGAAUAGAUUGCAUUUCCCUUGCAGCUUGGCAAUGGACUCCGCUGCAUCUCGGUCACCUAGACUAUAUGACUUUCCUUUUGCAAUACUUCUAGAGCUCCAAGUUGCUCCUGAGAUGUUCGAGUUUACGGAUUUCAUGCAUUAGAGUAACAGGUGCAGUUGAUGAUGUAUUGCCUUAACAUAGUUUUCCUUGCUCUGUCGCAGCGGUUUAUCUCCUUGUUCUCAAGUUUUCAUAAUAAUGCAUCAGCGUAGGAGAGAGAGACAGUUCUUUACCGAUGGACGUGGUGUUGAUUCCAAUGUGCUAGAAGCCGUUGGUCCUCUUGCAGUUUUUUCUGCAACUCAUCCACUUGAGAUUGUGCAAAAUCUCUCUGGCGCCUCAGUUCUUUAAUUUCUCUCUUUAUCUACACCCAACAAAAUGAUGAGGUACACAUUCAUUAGAUGACUGUAAAAUUCAACUAAGCUGCUGAAAACUUAACAUAACAGCACGAGAAAGAAUAGGGAAAGAAAAAGAAAAAAAGGAAAACUAAAAAUCAAGUAUCUACAAUUUCGAUAAGCAGUACCAGGUCCAGAUUAAGCAAUCGUCUCAAAUAAAGAAAUCAACCAACCAUAAUUCAAUCGCAAGGAAAUCUAAGAAGGGAAAGGAAGAAACAGAAGAUAAAUCACUUGGUAAGUUUAAUCCUUUCCAGUAUACAUAAGGAAAGAUCAUGAGCUUCGAUAUUAAGGAAAUAAAUUCAAUAAACAACAACAAUACUCACAGAAAUCUCAGGAUAAGAACAAUGCAGUAUCCGAGAGAGAGAGAGAGGAGUUUUGAAAGAGAGAGAAUGGCUUCUACUGAUUUUGCAGGUAUUUUCGAGGACGAAGAAGAAGAGAUUUGUUUCUCUUCCUCUUUAAUGAAAAAACAAACGGGCAACUUAGUGUUGUGCAUUUGAAUUUGUGAGCCGUAACGGCUAGUUUCUUUUUGUUUGCGUUUUUAUUUGAAUUACUUUUAUUACCGAUUCGCAUAUUCAGAUCGACGGUCACAGUGGAAUGGAUUCCUUUGUCAAAGUUUUGAAAAAAACGGCAGUUUUGGUUUCUGGUAAGUUAAUUAAUUUCUGCAACCAUAAUAAAGGAGGAAGGUUAAAAAAGGAAUUUUGCACAUAUGCCCUCUACGUACGACGUAUCGUUUCUUCAACGGUUGCUCAUAUUUGGUAAUUCUUGUGCUAAACUGCUCAUCAAAUGUGGCUUUGUUGAAUAAUUUGUAGGAUAAUUUAUGUGCACAGCCAAUCCUCCCCACUUAGAAAAGGAAAAGAUAAAAAGCUAAAAACAAACAAAUAGGUAAAAUUUCAAUGUCCAAGUUUAAAAUUUGAGAACAUGAACUUACAAAGCGUUCUGAAAUUACUUUUUCAGCAUUAGACUGCACAUCCAUCUCAACAGCAACAAUUGCUGUGCAAUCAUCAGCAUCAUCAUGCCCAGUAGACCCGCACCGAAGUUGUAUAUCACGACACUCCUUGAGAAGAACUGUGACCUGCAAAAUCAUAGUCAGCAUUAAAAGAAUAGUACUGGCAAGCAAAAUAAAGAAUGAACUAUAACGAUAGUUUAUCAAAAGGAAAUAUGUACACAUGCCUUGACACACAGCCAACAUCUAAGAUGGUUGUAGAGCUUUUAGAAUAAUAAAUGCACACGCUAGCAUAUAUGUAGAAUAAUAAAAUUUAAGAAAGAAGUAUAUUUCAUGUAAUACUUCAAAUCGACAAUUUUGGUGAUUUCUUUUUCUUUUCCUAGUCACAAUAAUUUUUCCAAGUCAACACAUCAAUGUUAUAUAAAAUUAGUCUCAUGCUGGUGUCCUCAAGGGGCGGUACGGGAUGGGCUGAAGGAUAAUGAAAAAAAAAAAUUAGUUCAACUGUGACUUUGUUGAACUCUGAAGCUAUUUUAUUUAUUGUAUCAUUUUUCUUUUAUACGGUAAAUAUCCGAAUUGAAAAAAAAAUCAAUCAAGUUUCAAUUUUUUUUUUUUGCAAACUAAUUCUAUAUUUCUUUUAGAAGCAAUGGGAACAGCUAGGAUAAGAAUAGCAAACUCGAGUUCGAUUAAAAAUUAUCUGAAAAUUUCUUUUAAAAUUUUAAAAAAAAUUAUCUUUGUUAUAUAAAUUCAUUCUAUAUCCAAACAGGAAUCAACAUAUAUAUUAUUCGAAUUUAAUAAAAAUAUAUAACAAUUAAAAAAAUUAUAUAGAUAUUUCAAUAGGUAGCAGUUACCUUACCCGUUAAAUAUCCAUUUAUAUAAAUAUUCGAAUAAAUGGGUACUUUAUAUUAUCCUUAAUACUCUAAUUUAUGUUAUAUUUUUAAAAUAUAUCUUCUACUAAUUAAUACAAUUGCAUUGCUUAAUCUUAUUAAUUUUUUAUUAAUUAUUAGAAGAUUAUCUAAAUCUUAAUACAUUUGUAUAUAAAUACAAGUUAAUUACUCUUACUCAGAUUUUGACAAAUUUACAAUUUUAAUCUUGUUCUCUAAAAGUAAACUAAUUGUUUGAUAGAGUCUCUUAUACCUUAGAGUUCUCUCAUCUCUUAUAUCUCUUAUCUCUUUUCCUUUUUAAUAUUUAUCAUCUUCAUAUAUAGAUAAGUCUUAUAUCUCUUAGCUUGUAGCUAUAUAGCUAUUGACUCUGUAAUCCUAUAAAUAUUCUGAUGUGUAACUUCAUUCAUAUCACUCCAAUAGAACUAUUUUCAAGUCUAAACAUGGUAUUAAAUCCUUACAACUAAAGAUUAUUGAUGCUUCUUCCACUCCACAAUAAACUUUAGCUUUGCCAUUAAAUUUUCAUCCUGAAAUUACUUUGCUUUGAAAACACAAUUUCUUCCACUCAUCAAUUAUCUUGAUAUAAAUUCUCUUAAUGAUGGUUCACACAGCCCUACCACAACAAUUCCUUCAACUACAAAUCCUAAUGCACCUACUGUUAGUCCAACCUAUAUUCGAUGGUUUAAAAGAGAUCAAUUAACUCUGGUACCUCUUUAAUGUUUGCUUUGAUUAAUUUUAAAUCUUUUGUCAAUCUCUUCUUAUGAGUCAAUCUGUCAAAGAGCUGCUUUAUUUGGUCCUUAUAUUGUAAAUUUAAUUUGAUAUAAUAAAAAAGUUUAAUUCAGCCCUUAAAUUUAUUGUAACUAUUAAACUGUUUCAAGAUAAUUAAAUUAAUAUUUUUAAAUUGCUCUAUUUUCUAGCAUAUUCUUUUUAAAAAAAACCAUAGAGAGGUCUUUGUUAUUUAUUAUUAUUAGAAAAAAUCAUAAAUAAGUCAUAAUGUUUACAUUUUCAAUAACUAAUACACAUGAUCAAAACAAUUUAUGCAACUAAAUUCAAUGAUAAGAAUUAGUUCAAACUUGAUUUAAUAUUAUUAGAUAAUUUAAAUAAUUUAUCCAAAUUAAUGAAUUUAAUACCAAAAUAAUCUUUUCAGCAUAUCGGGGUUCUUUAAACUGAUUUUAGGACGGUAAUGGUAAUGGUAGUAAGUAUUGGAAUUAGCUCUGCAUUAAAAGAAUAAGAAUAAAUUGAUAGUUGAGAUAUUUUAAAAUGUUCAAGAUAAAAAAAUAACAAAAAAUUAAUUAUUCUCAUUAGAAUUUAAAUAGGUUGGAGAUUAUUAUUCUUAGUUAUAAAACAAAAAGUUAAGAAAAAAAUUAAAUACUGCAUAGAAAUUUUAAAGGGAAAAAGUUUAUUUUUUCUUAAUUACCAAUAAACAAAAUUAUUUUUUUGUAUAAAAAAGUCAUGCUAAGAAAAUGGGAACAAUUAAAAAAUACUAAUUUACAUAUUUUCGACAAAUUUAAUUCUUACUAAUAUGUUUAGCGGCUAAAUUGAACUUCUUAAUUAGAUCAAAUUAAACUUAUAAUAAGUAUAAAGACUAAAUUGAACUUUCAUUUUAUCAAUUAAGCUCUUUGAGUGGUAGACUGGUGAGAAAAAUGAUGGAAUGGGUCGAUGGUUAAUAGAACCAAAUAUAAAAGGAGUAUUAGUUCAUUUCUGAAAAAAUAAAAUUGGACAUGUAAAUUUAUUCAAAUCUAAAGAGGUAUUAGUAAUUAACCCUAACUAUUUUAUGAUAAUCAGCAAUGACAUUCCUAUUCAUAUUCCGAUUACUUGUGGACCCAACCCUAUACGGAUAGAUAGGUACUAAAGGACUAACUCUGUGAAUUUAAUAUUAUAAAAGACGAUACUAAACUUACUACUAAAACAUAAUGACAACCAUACACUAAUAAAUAACAUGAAAAUAUUUACUGAAUCGUGACAUUCAAAAAUUAUCAUAAGGAAUCUAAUAUUUAAAUAUUACUUAGGGGUAUAAAUAGCCGGAGACGACAGAAAUAAUAAUAAAGUUUGUUGGAGUAACUUUGAAGAAGGAGAAAUGAGGAUAAUGCUUUAUAGGGAUCUACUAACAGAACAACAAGAUAUAUCUUAAAAAUGUUAAAAAUAAAGGGGUGAGUACAAAACUUAAUGAGAUGAUAAAGAGCAAUAUAUAAGGAAGUUAAUAUCAUAUCUCGUACUAUAAAUACAGUCUGAAAACUCUAACCAACUAGAUAAAUGUUAGUGAUACAGUUGAUAAUUCUUACCUAGCAACCCAAAGCACAAAUCUCUGUCAUGCGUGCCGGUAAUGCCCUCGAAAGGGGACUGCCCAGUAUACACCCAAUGCGUGCAUACUAAAAUAUCAUCUGUUUCUAUUACUGAAUCAAUACUUUACACCAAGUGUGAUUCUACAGGGUACGUAAAUGCGUGUACACCACUCAUCCAACUAUAUAAACUCUAAUUUAUAUAAAUACAAAAUCCAAAUUACCAUUUAUCGGUUCUUGAGUUCUUAGAAAAUAUUCCAAUUGUUUUAAUCGAAUUAUAUGUUGUUAUAGCUUAUCCACUCACUUGAAUUGUAACGGAGAAAAAACUCCUAGCAGACUAGUGGAUCACUAGGAUCCACAACAGACUCUGAAUCUUUAUCUAAAAUAAGAUAAUAUUCCAAAUAAGAACUUGAAUUGAAGUACAAACGAUUCAAAAAAUGAGAAAAUAUAAGAUGCAAAUGCAAAUGACUUCCUAUAAUUUCUACAGAAAAUCGGGUAGCAUCUUCCAUAAAAUCGGAUUAAUUCCCUAAUAAAACGAGUCCAAAACCUGCAAAUAAUAUGUUUAUAUCCAUCCAAAAACCACUCAGACCUCCAAACUACAUAAUACACCAAUUAAACCAUAUCCCUAUACAAUCAACAUAUGCCCCACCGAGUUUUGCACAUAAAUUAUAAUAAUAUCUAGAUUUAAAUAAAUUAAUACAACACCUCAAUUCCAAAUAAUUAAAUUCUUGAUAUCCAAGUAAUCUUUCACCACACUAUACAAAAAUCUUAGCAUUUAAAUAAUUUAAUACGCUUAUAAACACAUUGAUAAUCCAAAAAUAUUCAAUAAUUCAACAACAAUCUCAAUUUAAUUCCAAUAUCAAAUUGAAGUUAGGAGCAAAGUUUAAUGGUGGUUUGGUGAGGACUCAUUAUUCCAUGUUUUUAAGGAAUGUCCAUGGUGUCGUGCAGUUUGGUAUGCUAUGCUUUGGUAAUGCCAAAAAUCGCUUUGUUAAUGGAAAGGGGGAUCAUGGAGAUUUCAUCAGAUUUAAUCUUCCUCAAACAGGGCCAACUAGUGUUCAUUGGAAAGCACCGAUCCAAGGACAUUACAAGAUCAACAUUGAUGCUUUGGUGAAGCAGGAAUUAAAGUUAACCAGAUUGGAUGUAAUCAUCUGAGAUUAUGCUGGAAAUGUUAUUGCUUCAGCUAAAAAAGAUAAUGAAGUUUUGGAUGUUGAGAUGGCAGAGGCUAUGGCAAUUCUGUAUGAUUGAUCCACCGCUUGGGAAUGUGACAUUAGAAGUAUGAUCGCUCAAAGUGACUCUGCUGCUAUUAUUUUGAUGUAAUAAAAUAAUUUUUAUCAUAAUGAAAAAAUACAAAUUUUAAGGUAAUUAAUCAAAGUGGAUGUCUUUAAUUGAAAUAAUCUAACUAACUCUAUGUAACAAAAUUUAAAAUAAUAGAUUAUUUCAGUUAGUAGAUUAUUUUAAAUUUUGUUACAUGGAGUUAGUUAUCCACAUGAUUAACAUCAUUCCACGUAUUAGUAGCUAUAGUAGUCCUCCAUUCAUUGGCAGUAUUUCUUUAUUGCUUUUAAGCCUCAACGAAAUUCUCUUAUUCAUUAACUGGUAUAGCUAGAAAUCAUAAAAUUUCACUAUCUGCUUCAACUGGAAAUUCAUCCGAAUGAAACUUUUGUCGGAGAAAGUUGUCCAAUCCUGCACAUGCCAACACUAGCUCUGCUUGCCCGCUAUAUAUGGAAAUGGAGGAACUGUUUUAAAAAUUUUAAAGCGUGAUUUAAAAAUACCAAAUGAUCUCUCUACUCUAUUUCUCAAAGAAGCAUGAAAAUGCAUUUUCAGGAUGACGACGACCUUGACUUUGGAAAUCUUGAAGAUGAUGAUAGCGAACACCUCGAAAAGGAGCUAAAAACUGAAGUCGAUUUGGGAAUCCACAAUACACCAAAACAUUAUUUACCUAACAUAAAUAUAAUAAAAAAAAAUAUGAUAAGAAAACAAAAAAUAUAUAUAAAAAAUGAAAAUAAAUUGAAAUUGCAAUAAGUAGAUUAAAAGUACAUUGUGGUACUUUAAAUCUAUUACUCCUUGAUAGACAUCAUUUAACACUUUUGAAUCAUAUGCAAAUCCUUUCCACCCACUAAGCACAUAUUUGAAUUCCAAAUAAAAAAUACAAGCUGCUAAAAUAUUUUGCGAAGUUAUUCCAUAACGAUUGCGAUAGCUACUAAUCCUCGACUCAAAGACAUUAUUAAACAAAUGGACAUAUGCAAAAGUUGCUCAAUAAUGGGAAGUCAUCCAAAGUGGAUCUUCUUGACCUGUAGAAAUUCGAUGGUUCUGAUGAUCCUUAGGCUUUCUUGAAUGCUUACUAAUUUGGUACCUGCACUAAUAUGACCAAGCAGCAGAUAAUGCAAUACUUUUUAGUGUCUACUUGAUCGGCAUUGUUGCCUGUUGGUACUAGCAGUUGAAUGAAAAACUAAGAGACAAUUGGAAAGAUAUGACUGAGAGAUUUGUAGGCCAAUAUGGGUACAAAGCACUACUAAAGUGGAAGUGAGUACUUGGGACUGAGCAGCCACAAGGAAACUAUCCAAUGAGACCAUCUCUGAUUUUGAGAUUUUGCAUAAAGUGGCGAAGAUGACCACUAAACCAAUAAAGGGACCAGAUGCACUAAGGAGGCUAGGUAGCCUAGGCCAGGGCACUUCAUAAACCUUCCUUAUUCGUACCUAAUUUUCAAAACCUAUUACUUGACCCCACAUCUUAGGUGGCGACUCCACUUCUUCGAUUGUCAAAUGAAUAUUGUGGUCUUCUAGUUUCCUCGACCGAACAACUUAUUUCAAAACGAGCCUAAAAAUUCUCUAACAACGUGACGAGGAUGCGAAUCACUUGGGGUUGGCCCUAAAAACCUACUAAUGCUCAUAAACUCAUAGGUCUAUGAUAAACUAAUUCAUCAAUUUCUUAUAUAUAUGAAAUUAAAUUCAUCAAUUGGAUGAAUCACUAAUUAAAUUAAUAUAGUGAUACUCAUCAAUCUUUUGUAGGACUAGAAUUGCAUAUGAAAUUAUAAUAAAAUUAGGAUUGAAUUAAGAUUAAAAAUUAUAUUCAAAUAAAUAAUUAGAUUAACUAAAGGUAUUUUAGUUCUUUUAAAAAAAAUUUCUUCUCUUUUACUAUAUAAGAAUGUGUGAGCACAAUAGGUUUUUAGGCUCGGCCCUAGUUGAUUUACGACCUCAUCGUUGUGUCGAGGAACCGUUCUUAGUACUAGGUCCAUUUUGAAAUAAGUCAUAUGGUUAAGAGACCUAAAGGACCACAAUGAUCAUGUGAAGUGGAGUCACCACCCUAAACAUCGAGACAAAUUGAAGAGUAAGAAUGGUAGCUUUAUACCCCUCGCGGAGAGCCUAAAAUUCUCCCUCCCCAAUAUCAAAGAUUAUGGGGGCUCAGGAUAUGAUAAGGAAUGCAUGAGGCACAUGCCUAGGCAUCCGCUAGAGUAAAUGAAUGUUUGCUAGCCUAACAAGAUUACCUUAAUCUAGUCACUUCUACUUAUUUAAGCACAAACUUUUUAUCUUAUAUAAUAUGUGAGGUCAACAAACAAUUCUAACUUGGAAAAAGGUACAUUAGUACCCGAAACGAGUCAUAGAAUAAGGUAAUUUAGUAUUUUAGAUACUAUCUAGGUGUGGGAUUCAUAAUCUUAGCAUUUUAAAGUGAAUACAUAUAUAAGGCGCAGGAAGCUUUCAUUGGUAAGCUUUGUUCAUUUUAUGUUUGGCAUUGUGGGGUGAUUGAAAAAUCCUAAGCUAAUUUUAUUAUUCUCUUAGACAUGUGUAGUCUAAAUCUAAAAGCAAUAAAAUAAAACAUUUAUAGAAAGGAGAGGAGAAAAGAGAAUUCUAGAAAGGGAUUAAGGAGACUCGAGCGACCAAGGGGAAUUAAUUACAACCACCGCCAAAACAAUCAAAUAAAGAAUUAACUAAUAAAUUAACUAAACUAAUCCUAAAAGUCCAAAGCUAUAGAAGGAGGUAUAUUAGCACUCAAAACUAGUCCUGACGGAAGGUACUUUGGUAACUCAGAUUUUUUAUCUUUCACAUGCAAGGUGGCCAAACUUGAAUCCAAUUUUAUUACCUAAAUUUAAGUAGUAAAUUAGCUUUUUAAAGUGAAUGCAGAUAUGAGGUGCCAGAAGCUUACUUUGAUAAGCUUUAUUCAUUUUAUGUUAGGCAUGCUGAAUGAUUGCUCAUAAAUCCUAAAUUGAUUUUACUCCCGUAAAUAUAUGUUGUGAAAAUCUAAAAACAAUAAAAUAAAACAUACAUAGAAGGGGGGAGGAGAAAAGAGAAAUCCAGAAAGGGAUUAAGGAGAUCGGGGCAAUUAAGGGGGAAUUAAUUACAACCAUAGCUUAAAAGCCUCAAAAAAUCAAAUAAGGAAUUAACUAAUUAAUUAACUAAAUUAAUCCUAAAAGUCCAUAAAAGACCGCUUAGGAUAUCAAAACUGGGUAAUUAGAACCUGUCACUAUGAAAAGAAUUAGAUUAGUAAACAAAAUUAACAAAUAAAAAUGCAAAUAAACAAAUAAACUAUAGAAUAAACAGAAAUUAAAAGCAAAUUAAGAAUAAUAUUAAAUAUAUAAAACAAUAGUAAAACUACGGAAGAUGCUAACAGAAAAUAAACUUAUCUUGGGAGGCAACACGAAAUGUUAAUUUAGUACUUGCACUGACAUAGAAAGCUAAACCAACACAAAAAUAAAGUGUUUCACUUGGUAACCAUUAAAAAAUCAAGUAAUGUACUUUGAUUGCCAUCUAUUCACUUUUCACACAAUCUUUUUUUUUUUAAAAAGAGCCUCUUUUUUCUUUGUCUAAUUAUCAUAAUAAUUUACUAUUUUGAUUAAGCAAUUGAUAGACUCGUCUCAAAUAAAGAGAUGUAUAUAUCCAUUUAUAUAAAUAUUUGAAUAAUUAAAUAGGUACUUGAUAACUCGGUCAAGGAUUGAGCUAUCAAUAAGAUCUUUAAAGGUUGAUUCAAUCUCCAGAGUACCUAUAAAGAUGGUUAGAAAGCGACAGACGGGAUUGUCCACCCACUUACUCCGAUAAUUAAGUCAAUAAUUUGUGAAAGGGUGGCUUAAGUAUAUUAAAGGUGUAAAGUAGUGUAUAUGAAAAUAUGGUUCUUUAUAUAGAUGUUUGAUAGUCUAUUUGAGUAAAAAACUCUGCAGAUAUAGGUCGGCUUAGAUAUAAUAAGAUUUAUUCUCUUUGUUGUCUCAACAGUUUUAGAUUGGGUUAGACUCUCUAACUAGAGUCCGUCCAUGACACGAUCUCUUAGACUUUCUGUUAUUAUGGAUACAAACUUGGUCAACUCCGUCUUUCUCGGGCAUAACAGGUUGGCCUAUAAUGCUCUGAUAUACUCGUUUAUAAUAAUUAAAUUUUAAAUUAUACUAACAGAAAAACUAAAUCUAAACUACAUAAUUUUAAAUGGGAUCGAGUACUAGAUUCAAGUAAGCUAUACUUAUAUUCAUUUAAAUAAUUAUGGUAGGGAGCGGGUAUACGAGGGCUCACAUCCAAAAUCGACACGAGUAUAUUAGAAUCCAAUUUCAAACUCGUCCCAAAUUCUUUUACAAUUACCUAAACUCGUUCUAUUAGAGUUCGGUCGAAUCGGAUAUACAAAAAUAUCCACCCAACUAAUAUUGCUAAAUAAGAUUUGAUAUUUAAUACCGUUUUUAAAAAUGGUACAAGUUUCAUCAUAUAUUUAUUGGAACUUAGAUUUUUUUUUUGCAAUUACCUUUAGAAUGCAUCCAAAAGAAAAUGCAAGAUACCAAUUGUUACAUAUAAUUGUUGGCAUGUGAUUCUAUUUAAGUUCUUACAUUAAUAAUCAAAAUAUAACAACCUAGCAUAUAUCAACUUAAUUAAAGUUUUUAGUGCGAGUGUUCUUUCUCUAUUUGUAACUCAAAAAGAACCUAGCAUUUUUAGCAUAAUGUAGGCCUAUUUUCUAAAAUUUGAUAAAAUGAUUUAUAUUAUCCUUAAUACUCUAAUUUAUAUUGUACUUUUAAAAUAUAUUUUUCUACUAAUUAAUACAAUUGUAUUGCUUAAUCUUAUUAAUUUUAUAUUAAUUAUUAAUAACAAAUUCUUCUGUCAGAAGUUUAUCUAAAUCUUAAUAUAUUUGUAUAUAAAUACAAGUUAAUUACUCUUACUCAUAUUUGGACAAAUUUACAAUUCUAAUCUUGUCCCUUAUCUCUUAGAGUUCUCUCAUCUCUUAUAUCUCUUAUCUCUUAUCCUUUUUAAUAUUUAUCAUCUUCAUACAUAGAUAAGUCUUAUAUCUCUUAGCUUAUUGGCUCUGUAAUCCUAUAAAUAUUCUGAUUUGUAACUUAAUUCAUAUCACUCCAAUAGAACUUUCAAGUCUAAACAUGGUAUCAAAGCCAACUAAAGAUUAUUGAUGCUUCUUCCACUCCACAAUAAACUUUAGCUUUGCCAUUAAAUUUUCAUCCUGAAAUUACUUUGCUUUGAAGACACAAUUUCUUCCACUCAUUAAUCAUCAUGAUAUGAAUCCUCUUAAUGAUGGUUCACAUGCUCCUACCAUAUCAAUUCCUUCAACUUCAAAUCCCAAUGCACCUGCUUAAUCUAGUCUAUAUUAAAUGGUUUAAAAGAGAUCAAUUAACUCUAGUACCUCUUUAAUGUUUGCUUUGGUUAAUUUUAAAUCUUUUGUCAAUCUCUUUUUAUCAGUCAAUCUAUCAAAGAGAUGCUUUAUUUGGUCCUUAUAUUAUAAAUUUAAUUUGAUACAAUAAAAGAGUUUAAUUCAGCCCUUAAAUUUAUUAAACUCUUCUUUCAAGAUAAUUAAAUUAAUAUUUUUAAAUUGCUCUAAUUUCUAGCAUAUUCUUUUUAAAAAGAACCAUAGAGAUGUCUUUUUUAUUUCUUAUUUUUAGAAAAAAUCAUAAAUAAGUCAUAAUGUUUUACAUUUUUAAUAACUAAUACACAUAAUCAGAAUAAUUUAUGCAACUAAAUUCAAAGAUAAGAAUUAGUUCAAACUUGAUUUAAUAUUAGAUAAUGAAAAUAAUUUAUCCAAAAUAAUCUUUUCAUAUCAUAAUGGGGGUUUUUCAAACUGAUUUUAGGACGGUAAUUGUAAUGGUAGUAAGUAUUGGAAUUAGCUCUGCAUGAAAAGAAUAAGAAUAAAUUGAUAGUUGAGAUAUUUUAAAAUGUUCAAGAUAAAAAAUAACAAAAUAUUAAUUAUUCUCAUUAGAAUUUAAAUAGGUUGGAGAUUAUUAUUCUUAGUUAUAAAACAAAAAGUUAAGAAAAAAAAUCAAAUACUGCAUAAAAAUUAAAGGGAAAAAGUUUAUUUUUUCUUAAUUACCAAUAAACAAAUUUAUUUUUUUGUAUAAAAAAGUCAUGUUAAGAAAUGGAAACAAUUAAAAAAUACUAAUUUACAUAUUUUCGACAAAUUUAAUUCUUACUAAUAAGUUUAGUGGUUAAAUUGAACUUCUUACUAGAUCAAAUUAAACUUAUAAUAAGUAUAAGGACCAAAUUGAACUUUCAUUUAAUCAAUUAAGCUCUUUGACUGGUAAACUGGUGAAAAAAAUGAUGGAAGGGGUCGAUGGUUAAUUGAACCAAAUAUAAAAGCGUAUUAGUUCAUUUCUGAAAAAAUAAAAUUGGAUUUGUACAUUUAUCCAAAUCUAAAGAGGUAUUAGUAAUUAACCCUAACUAUUUUAUGAUAAUCAGCAAUGACAUUCCUAUUCAUAUUCCGAUUACCUGUGAGACCCAACUCUAUACGAAUAGAUAGGUACUAAAGGACUAACUCUGUGAAUUUAAUAUUAUAAAAGACGAUACUAAACUCACUGCUAAAAAAUAAUGACAACCAUAACAUGAAUAUAUUUACUGAAUCAUGACAUUCAAAAAUUAUCAUAAGGAAUCUAAUAUUUCAAUAUUACUUAGGGGUAUACACAGUCGGAGAUGACAAAAAUAAUAAUAAAGUUUGUUGGCGAAACUUCCACUAAAGCUGAAGUUGAANNNUGCUCUAUAGGGAUCUACUAACAGAACAUCAAGAUAGAUAUGACGGAGAGAUUUGUAGUAUAGAGCACUGAACUGGAAGUAAGUACUUGGUACUGGGAAGCCACAAGGAAACUAUCCAAUGAGACCAUCUCUGAUUUUGAGAUUUCGUAUAAAGUGGCGAAGAUGACCACUAAACCAAUAGAGGGACUAGAUGCACUAAGGAGGCUAGGCAGCCUAGGCCAGGGCACUUCAUAAACCUCCUUAUUCGUACCUAAUUUUUGAAACCUA